rnacentral:lncRNA from 1 species
CAGUUGACUUUUCUUAUUGAUGUUGAUGUAAUGGGCUUUAGCCCAAUCUCAAUAAUAAUAUACCAUCUAACUCAUUCUUAAAAUAAGAAAGACGUUCAAACGUACUAAUGCAUUUGCCUCAAAAACUGGGUUAAAUUCUAUAUAAAGUCACCAUAGUAAACAUAAAACAAGCAGAAGUAUAAAUGAUGCUUUCUUUUAUUAUUAUAACAUAUUGAUUUAUUGAUGAAGUGACAUACAAAGACAUCAACUGGCUCUCACAAUUCUGUGGAAAAAGGAAAUAAGAAAGGAAACACUCGUUACAUCAAUUGGAAGCCACACCACACACUCAAAGUGAUUGAAUAACACUCCACACAAGGCAAGAAAACUCUUGUAUAUAAUAUAAAACAAGGUCUUUGCAGAUCACUGAAUACUGAAGAUCGAAUUGGAUCAGUUGUAAUGAGGAUUGGCCAAAAGGUAGGCCUCAACGGCCUU